rnacentral:rRNA from 1 species
UACAGAGGGUGCGAGCGUUAAUCGGAAUUACUGGGCGUAAAGCGUGCGCAGGCGGUUGUGCAAGACAGAUGUGAAAUCCCCGGGCUUAACCUGGGAACUGCAUUCGGGACUGCAUUGCUAGAGUAUGGGAGAGGGAAGUGGAAUUUCAGGUGUAGCGGUGAAAUGCGUAGAUAUCUGAAGGAACAUCAGUGGCGAAAGCGACUUCCUGGACCAAUACUGACGCUCAUGUGCGAAAGCGUGGGGAGCAAACAGG